GUAUUCAAUCAAUUUUUUGCAAGCAUCUGUAAAGAAAGUUUCACGAAAACAUCUCAUAUCCUUUCUUUUUUUCCUAUGGAAAAUAAAAUAAACUGAUAGAAUUCAGCCAGAAAUGUAUGUUCAUUUUCUUAUAUCAUCAUUUUAAAUGUACACUACAUUUAAAUGUGCAUUUCUGAGGUAGCUGCUUCCCUUUACAGGUGCUGCCAAUAUUGCAUCAAGAAAUCCUUCCAGAAAGUUUAGUAGCCUUAAAGCCUGUAACAAUUAGUGAUGUAAUAUAAAUAAAUAUAUUACAGGCUUAAAACUUUGUGCUGCAGCCUGGGAUAUUUUUUAUCAGUUUGUUUGUUUAACUGACAUAAAGAGUGGAAUAAGUGGUCCAUCAAUACAUGACAGGCUGAUAGUGAGCAGUCUGAUUAGGAGUAAGAAGAGCAGAACAUUUCAGUAUGAUGAAAUCAGUAUUUAUAUGAUUGCUACGAGAAAAAACAUUUUUGUGUUCAAUAAUUGUUAACUCCAUAGGAAAAAAAAAAAAAGAAAAAAAUGAAAGAAAAAAAAUGAGGAGAAAGAAUUUUUGUAUCAGUGUCUCAGCUAUAAAUACAAACCUUGCUCUGAAAGUAAUGCCUCCUAUUUUAUUAUAUUGGCCCACAGUGUCAGAGAUUAGUUUCUGUGGUAUGGAAGUUGAGGUUGAAUCUUCCCAUCAAUAUUCUAUUUUGUUGCCAUGUGACAGAUGGCAGCAGAGGGUCAACCUGACAACAUUUGACAUGGGAUUGCAGAUGAAGCAAAGAUGUGGAAUUGAAUUCCUCCAUGAAGAAAAAAUUGCACCCAUUGACUUUCAUUGAUGCUUGCUGAACAUUUAUGGAGACCAAACAGCAGAUGUGAGCAUACUGAGGAUAUGUCUUGGCAUCUUCUGUGCUCCAUGACACCAUAUGCCAAAGAGGAAACUUUUAGAGGGAAGAAGUGAGAUCUAUUUACAGUUCAGAUAUAUUCAUUGCUUUGGAGCUGUUUGCCUUCGGAAGAGAGUGUUCAGGACUGUUUACUGGCAGAUGAUCUGGCCUGUGACAAAUAACUCCAGCUUGCUAUGGGAGACUGGGAGAUGAUACCACUGUAUUCUGUGAAGGCAAGAUACAAGUUGGCACCUCCCUGCUUUCUCUUAUCUGCUGACAAGGCCCAGAAGAUGGGAACAAAAGGAGUUCCUGCUGAGAUCCAAAAGCCAGAAGCUAUCACUCCAAAAGGAGCUGACUGAAUCACUUUGGACUUAUUUAUAAGUUUGUACUGCCAUUGAAAAGUAUCUUCAUUAUCUCCAUAACCACAGACAUCAUCGUCAACAAUGAUACAGAACAACAACAACUGACGACCCACCACUACUGGAGACCAACGACUGAACUGUGAACCUUGCUGGACCCUUGGUGGUCUCUAUCUUGCUCUCUACAAAGACUCCUUGCUUUUAUUUCCUGUCCUUUAUAUUGCCCAUCUUCCCUUCCCCAUCUUCCUAAAUGACUAGGAUCUGUAAUAAACUGGUCGGGCUAACAUUUGACCAGUUGUGUCUAAAUCUCACUGUCGGGUAUACAUAUAUCAGAGAACCUCCUCUCCCUCCUAUAAAUUGGAGCAAGAUAAAAUAAAUAAAAAAGAAAAGAAAAGAAAAAUAAAUAGAAUGUUAGUAGAUACAAAACAA
ensembl:lncRNA